GAGGAAUAAGCAUCGGCUAACUCCGUGCCAGCAGCCGCGGUAAUACGGGGGAUGCAAGCGUUAUCCGGAAUCAUUGGGCGUAAAGCGCCUGUAGGUGGUUUAAUAAGUCUGUUGUUAAAGACUAGGGCUUAACCCUAGAAAAGCAAUGGAAACUACUAGACUAGAGUAUGGCAGGGGUAGAGGGAAUUUCUAGUGUAGCGGUGAAAUGCGUAGAUAUUAGAAAGAACACCGGUGGCGAAAGCGCUCUACUGGACCAUCACUGACACUCAGAGGCGAAAGCUAGGGUAGCAAAAGGGAUUAGAUACCCCUGUAGUCCUAGCCGUAAACGAUGGAUACUAGAUGUUGUGUAUCAUAUACAGUAUCGUAGCUAACGCGUUAAGUAUCCCGCCUGGGGAGUACGCUCGCAAGGGUGAAACUCAAAGGAAUUGACGGGGGCCCGCACAAGCGGUGGAGCAUGUGGUUUAAUUCGAUGCAACGCGAAGAACCUUACCAGGACUUGACAUACUACAGAUCCAAUUGAGAAAUUGGAGUGCCUUCGGGAAUGUAGAUACAGGUGGUGCAUGGCUGUCGUCAGCUCGUGUCGUGAGAUGUUGGGUUAAGUCCCGCAACGAGCGCAACCCUUAUUUUUAGUUACUAAUUCGUUAGGUUCUCUAGAAAGACUGCCGGUGACAAACCGGAGGAAGGUGAGGAUGACGUCAAGUCAGCAUGCCCCUUAUGUCCUGGGCUACACACGUGCUACAAUGGUUAAGACAAAGAGUCGCGAGCUUGCGAAAGUCAGCUAAUCUCAUAAACUUAGCCUAAGUUCAGAUUGUAGGCUGCAACUCGCCUGCAUGAAG
rnacentral:rRNA from 1 species